rnacentral:rRNA from 1 species
UACGGAGGAUCCAAGCGUUAUCCGGAAUUACUGGGCGUAAAGAGUUGCGUAGGUGGCAUGGUAAGUUGAUAGUGAAAGCGUGCGGCUCAACCGCAUACACAUUAUCAAAACUACCAAGCUAGAGGACGAGAGAGGUAAUUGGAAUUCCUAGUGUAGGAGUGAAAUCCGUAGAUAUUAGGAGGAACACCGAUGGCGUAGGCAGAUUACUGGCUCGUUCCUGACACUAAGGCACGAAAGCGUGGGUAGCAAACGGG